AGUCCAUGGUGAGGUCACAGUCUAAGCAUUCUCUUUAAUUUAUCCCAAGCUUCGUACAAAAAUUCUCCAUCCUUUUAUAUAAAGCUUGUAAUAAGAUUUCGCAUAUGGGU